CCUACGGGAGGCAGCAGUGGGGAAUAUUGCACAAUGGGGGAAACCCUGAUGCAGCAACGCAGCGUGAAGGAAGACGGUUUUCGGAUUGUAAACUUCUGUUCUUAGGGAAGAAUAUUUACGGUAGGUAAUGAUCAAGCCACGGCUGACUCCGGGCCAGCAGCCGCGGGAAUACGUAGGUGGCAAGCGUUGUUCGGAAUUACUGGGUGGAAAGGGUGCGCAGGCGGGGAGCCAAGUCAGCUGUGAAAACUACGGGGUUAACUUGUAGAUUGCAGUUGAUAUUGGUUUACUUGAGUUAGGUAGAGGUUGGCGGAAUUCCGUGUGAAGCGGUGAAAUGCGUAGAUAUUCGGAGGAACACCGGUGGCGAAGGCGGCCUACUGGGUUUUAACUGACGCUGAGGGUCGAAAGUGUGGGGAGCAAACAGGAUUAGAUACCCCAGUAGUC
rnacentral:rRNA from 1 species